UGGGGAAUAUUGAGCAAUGGGCGCAAGCCUGACCCAGCAACGCCGCGUGAAGGAAGAAGGCGUUCGGGUUGUAAACUUCUUUUCUGAGGGACGAUAGUGACGGUACCUCAGGAAUAAGCCACGGCUAACUACGUGCCAGCAGCCGCGGUAAUACGUAGGUGGCAAGCGUUAUCCGGAUUUACUGGGUGUAAAGGGCGUGUAGGCGGGACUGCAAGUCAGAUGUGAAAACCAGAGGCUCAACCUCUGGCCUGCAUUUGAAACUGUAGUUCUUGAGUGUUGGAGAGGCAGGCGGAAUUCCGUGUGUAGCGGUGAAAUGCGUAGAUAUACGGAGGAACACCAGUGGCGAAGGCGGCCUGCUGGACAAUAACUGACGCUGAGGCGCGAAAGCGUGGGGAGCAAACAGGAUUAGAUACCC
rnacentral:rRNA from 1 species